CCUAUCUUUAACAAGAUGGUAAUUUCAUACAGGUGUUGCAUGGCUAUCAUCAGCUCAUGUCGUGAGACACGUAUGGUCAAGUUCUGUAAUGCGAGAAGAGAUACAUUAUUAUCGAGCAUCACUUGACAACAACGAUCUCCAUUAAAUGCUCGUAUAUAUUGUCCACCAUAGUCUCAUAAUUUUGCAUACUUCAUAUUCUUCAAUCAUUUUUCUAUAGUAUAUUCCUUCAAUCAUUUGAAGGACCCUCAUCCUUCCUUUCUUUAUGCUUUAUAUCCAACAAUGUCUCUCUCUCAUACUUAGAACCUUUCUAUUUCCAAGAUGCGGGUGAAAAUCAUGCGCAAUUGGAUAGACAAAGUCUAAUAUCUAGAGAACAAUAAUUUACAUUAUGAUCCAUUUAUAUAUAUACACAUUAUGGUUCAAUUUCACACUCAUCUAAUCUCGAGGCAAAAAGAGAAUUAUUUAAGAGGCGAAGAUAAUUUGGUAUACAAUGGACAUGGUAAAAAGUUUAUAAUCAUAACAAGAUGAAUAUCAAAAGCGUCAUUAUGGUUGGAAAAGGGGGAAAUGAAAAUAACCAUUAUGAUGAUAUUAUCGAAACAAAAACCAAUAAUAUAUAGAAUUUUU